ensembl:lncRNA
CCACCUUUCACUUAAGCAAACUUGUCCACAGACUGUGUGGGUCCCAUCAGCUGAGAGUAGCCUUCACAUUGCAGUGAUGUGCAUAUUUCUGCUUUUCAGCCACGAUGGACUUUAGGAUCUUCCCUGAGGACCCUACACGAACCACAGGUGGUGGGAUAGAAUGACAGUUGUGAGCAGUUCCCAUUGGCAUCAACUGUACCACAGACCCAGUCUCAGUGUGACACAGAAGACGACUACCUGGAAAGUAUGUCCUCUCUCUAAGGGGACAGUAUAAUACAAUACUCUGGACUGCAGGUCAGACAAGGCCUGUGUUUAGGAGACUUGUGGACAGAUGAAUGUCUGUGAGUCUGGACUUAGACUCUGUGGAGGCCUCAGGUCACCUGACUGUCCUGAAGCUUCCCACUGUGAUUUAUUUCCCUCCUACAGAGUCAGCCACCUGAGCAACUGCAUUUCCUGGUUAUCCCCUAAUCCACUUACACUGUGUAGAGUGUCCAGUCUUAGGGAGGGCCUGGGAAUCUGAGAGACACCACUGAGCCCUCUGGGCCUGGCUGACUCAACUUGAGGCUACUCUGUGUGUCUUCAUUUUGCUCACCCACCAGAGACCUCAAAAGUCAGCAGUAAAGUUGCUGAGAGGCCAGGAGCCUCCAUAUUGACCCAAGAGCAAUUGUCCUCUUUUACAGGUUCAUCCACAGAGCACGUAAUUCUGAUUGGUGCAACAGUCUGGAAGAGUGAAAGAUAUCAUCUCCCAAGGGCAAGUGCUGUGCUAGUGGACACUGAGGAGCUGCAGGGAUCAGACCCCUCCCCAUCCUUUUCCAGCCUCUCUUGUUCUUUCUUGAGAUGUUUCCUGCAGACCUGAAAGAUCCAUGCAGUCCAUGACAUGGGUUUCAAUUUAAUCUCAGGACAUUUUAUUCAUUGCCCAAAAACUAAGACCAGAUAAAAUUUAUUCAUUCAUUCAUUCAUUCAUUCAUUCAUUCAUUCAUUUCUUAUAUAUAAGUACAGGGUAGUUGUCUUUAGAAACAACAGAGAGGUCAUCAGAUCUAAUUAGAGAUAUUUGUGAGCUGCCAUGUGGUUGCUGGGAUUUGAACUCAAGACCCCUGGAAGAGCAUUCAGUGCUCUUAACCAUUUAUCAAUCUUUCCCAUUUCCAAGGUAACUUUUUUACUUUCAACAAGGUAUUCUUUAUUCAGGUUACAUCCUGAUCCCAGCUACUCUCCCUCUUCCCUUCCCAGUCCCACCAUACAAAUCCUUUCUAACAAUACUCUCCCUUCUCUUUGGAGAUGGGGAUACUCCCUGGGUACCACACCACCCUGGGACAUCUAGUCCCAGGUGGACCGAGCACAUUCUGCCCCACAGAUUUACAAUCAGGCAGUCCGGGUAUGGGGAAGAGAUCCAAUGGCAGGCAACAAAGACUGAGACAGUCCUGGAUCUACUUGUCAGAUGACCCACAUGGAGACCAACUGCAGAUAGCUACACCAGGCUCUGGAGUUGGUUGCACAUGCUCUAGUAUACAUGGUCCAAAGUAUCUGACUGUAGGGAACUUCUUGUAGUGUUUUUGACCCCUCUAGUUUGCUCACAAUUCUCCCUCACUCUUCCACAAGACUUCCCAAGCUCCAUCUGAUGUUUGGCUGUGGGUUUCAGCUUGUGGAUGAAGCCUCUUCAGAGACAAGUAUGUUUCUUUUCUGUCCACAAGUAUAUCAGAGUAUCAUAAAUACUGUCAGAUGUUAUCUCUGUCACAUAGAUGAAUCUCACUUUGGGGCAGUCAUUGAUUGGUUGUUCCCUCAAUCUCUGCUAUAUCUUUAUCCCUGCACAUUCAUUAGCAAGAUAGAUUUUAAGUUGGUGCUGUGAGUGCAUUGAUGUCCACUUCCUCGUCUAGAAGUUCUUUCUUGCAACAAGAGGUAGCCAUUUCUGUCUCUUGCUCUGGUAGGAUUCUAACCUAGGGUCACCCCCGUAGACUCCCCCUAUGCUCUCCC